AUUGAACGCUGGCGGAAGGCCUAACACAUGCAAGUCGAACGAGUGGCGGACGGGUGCGUAAUGUCUGGGAAACUGCCUGAUGGCGGGGGAUAACUACUGGAAACGGUAGCUAAUACCGCCUACCAUCGGAUGUGCCCAGAUGGGAUUAGCUAGUAGGUGGGGUAAAGGCUCACCUAGGCGACGAUCCCUAGCUGGUCUGAGAGGAUUACCAGCCACACUGUAACUGAGACACGGUCCAGACUCCUACGGGAGGCAGCAGUGGGGAAUAUUGCACAAUGGGGGCAAGCCUGAUGCAGCCAUUCCGCGUGUAGGAAGAAGGCCUUCGGGUUGUAAAGUACUUUCAGCGGGGAGGCGUUACCCCCCCAAGAAGCACCGGCUAACUCCGUGCCAGUAGCCGCGGUAAUUC
rnacentral:rRNA from 1 species